AUUGAACGCUGGCGGCAUGCUUUACACAUGCAAGUCGAACGGCAGCGCGGGCUUCGGCCUGGCGGCGAGUGGCGAACGGGUGAGUAAUACAUCGGAACGUGCCCAGUAGUGGGGGAUAGCUCGGCGAAAGCCGGAUUAAUACCGCAUACGACCUGAGGGUGAAAGCGGGGGAUCUUCGGACCUCGCGCUAUUGGCGCGGCCGAUGGCAGAUUAGCUAGUUGGUGGGGUAAAGGCCUACCAAGGCGACGAUCUGUAGCUGGUCUGAGAGGACGACCAGCCACACUGGGACUGAGACACGGCCCAGACUCCUACGGGAGGCAGCAGUGGGGAAUUUUGGACAAUGGGCGAAAGCCUGAUCCAGCAAUGCCGCGUGUGUGAUGAAGGCCUUCGGGUUGUAAAGCACUUUUGGCGGGAACGAAAGGGACUGUGCCAAUACCACGGUUCGAUGACGGUACCCGCAGAAUAAGCACCGGCUAACUACGUG
rnacentral:rRNA from 1 species